UCCACAAAGCCUCUUUCUCACUUUUGACCUCGGAUCAGGUAGGGAUACCCG
rnacentral:rRNA from 1 species